rnacentral:rRNA from 1 species
AGAUUGAACGCUGGCGGAAUGCUUUACACAUGCAAGUCGAACGGCAGCACGGGACUCAGGCAACUGAGCCCUGGUGGCGAGUGGCGAACGGGUGAGUAACAUAUCGGAACGUACCCAGUCGUGGGGGAUAACUCUCCGAAAGGAGAGCUAAUACCGCAUACGUCCUGAGGGAGAAAGCGGGGGACCUAAGGGUAACUGAGGGCCUCGCGCGAUUGGAGCGGCCGAUAUCGGAUUAGCUAGUUGGUGAGGUAAAGGCUCACCAAGGCGACGAUCCGUAGCGGGUCUGAGAGGACGACCCGCCACACUGGAACUGAGACACGGUCCAGACUCCUACGGGAGGCAGCAGUGGGGAAUUUUGGACAAUGGGCGCAAGCCUGAUCCAGCAAUGCCGCGUGCAGGAUGAAGGCCUCGGUUGUAACGUAGCUUUGUUACGGUAAC